rfam:Zymomonas mobilis subsp. pomaceae ATCC 29192, complete genome.
GCCCUUGCGUUUAGACGCAUCCAUCCCUAGCUACAUAGCGUCACUUCGGUGACUAUGAUGGUAGAUUUUCAGGUGAAAUAGACUCGACGGACCCGGAGGGCAGUACUCCGGCGCCUCCACCAUCAGUAGCGGUUUACAUCCGCUGUUGAUGAUGGGGGCGAAACAGGAUCGACGUGUGUAGUAAAGAUCUGAUUGCUAUCCGGCGUGAUUGAGCCGUUAAACCGAUCAUUUUCACAAGUGCCAACGAUAACGAGGUACUCGCUGUUGCUGCGUAAUGAAAACCCUCACGGGUAGACAUUACAAAGUAAAAGCGCGGUUGGGCUGCACCGGGCAACAGAAGCAGAUUCCAGCGGUUUGGGGAGCACCGGGCAACAGAAGCUCCCUAUU